UAGCGCAGCCUGGUAGCGUACCUGCUUCGGGAGUAGGGGGUCGGAGGUUCAAAUCCUC
rnacentral:tRNA from 1 species